rnacentral:rRNA from 1 species
AUUGAACGCUGGCGGCAGGCUUAACACAUGCAAGUCGAGCGGGGUGAUGGUGCUUGCACUAUCACUUAGCGGCGGACGGGUGAGUAAUGCUUAGGAAUCCGCCUAUUAGUGGGGGACAACAUCUCGAAAGGGAUGCUAAUACCGCAUACGUCCUACGGGAGAAAGCAGGGGAUCACUUGUGACCUUGCGCUAAUAGAUGAGCCUAAGUCGGAUUAGCUAGUUGGUGGGGUAAAGGCCUACCAAGGCGACGAUCUGUAGCGGGUCUGAGAGGAUGAUCCGCCACACUGGGACUGAGACACGGCCCAGACUCCUACGGGAGGCAGCAGUGGGGAAUAUUGGACAAUGGUGGGAACCCUGAUCCAGCCAUGCCGCGUGUGUGAAGAAGGCCUUAUGGUUGUAAAGCACUUUAAGCGAGGAGGAGGCUCUUUUGGUUAAUACCCAAGAUGAGUGGACGUUACUCGCAGAAUAAGCACCGGCUAACUCUGUGCCAGCCGCCGCGGUAA